UGUGUAUCAGUACAUGGCAUAUCAAUAAGCGGAGGAAAAGAAACUAACAAGGAUUCCCUUAGUAACGGCGAGUGAAGCGGGAAGAGCUCAAAUUUGAAAUCUUCAAGGUUCUACCUUGACGAAUUGUAGUUUAAAGAAGUGUUUUCUGUUAGUGGAGUGGCAAAAGUUCUUUGGAAUAGGACAUCAUAGAGGGUGAGAAUCCCGUAUUUGGUCAUUCCUUCUAGCUUUGUGAUACACUUUCAAAGAGUCGGAUUGUUUGGGAAUGCAGUCCAAAAUGGGUGGUAAAUUUCAUCUAAAGCUAAAUAUUGGCGAGAGACCGAUAGCGAACAAGUACCGUGAGGGAAAGAUGAAAAGAACUUUGAAAAGAGAGUUAAACAGUACGUGAAAUUGUCAAAAGGGAAGCGUUUGACACCAGUGUUGUUUUCUCGAAAAUCAAUUAAAAAUGAUGGGAUGUUGUGUUGUAUUGACUUUAUCAGCUUUCUGCACUUUUUUCUUAUCUUUUUUAAUGCACUUUUCGUUUAACAAGUCAACAUCAAUUUCUUUUGUUGUAAAAGAGUCAUUGGAAGGUGGCUUUUUCUUCGGAAAAAGUGUUUAUAGCCUUUGGCUUCUGCAAUCGGAGAGAUUGAGGUCUGCAGCGUAGAUCCUUCGGGGUUAGAUACAUUUGUGCUAAGCUAUAGUUCUUUAUAGACAACUUGUUGACUAUAAUCAAUCCUGUAACUUACUCGCUUAUGCUAUUUUACCUACGCUUAGGAUGUUGACAGCAGUAUAGACUGU
rnacentral:rRNA from 1 species